GGCUCGCUAGCUUAGUUGGUAAAGCACUUGUCUAGCGAAUAAGAAUCGUGAGCUCAAAUCUCACCUGAGCUG
rfam:Aedes albopictus isolate Foshan contig99390, whole genome shotgun sequence.